CUUAUCCUUUGUUGCCAGCGGUUAGGCCGGGAACUCAAAGGAGACUGCCAGUGAUAAACUGGAGGAAGGUGGGGAUGACGUCAAGUCAUCAUGGCCCUUACGACCAGGGCUACACACGUGCUACAAUGGCGCAUACAAAGAGAAGCGACCUCGCGAGAGCAAGCGGACCUCAUAAAGUGCGUCGUAGUCCGGAUUGGAGUCUGCAACUCGACUCCAUGAAGUCGGAAUCGCUAGUAAUCGUGGAUCAGAAUGCCACGGUGAAUACGUUCCCGGGCCUUGUACACACCGCCCGUCACACCAUGGGAGUGGGUUGCAAAAGAAGUAGGUAGCUUAACCUUCGGGAGGGCGCUUACCACUUUGUGAUUCAUGACUGGGGUGAAGUCGUAACAAGGUAACCGUAGGGGAACCUGCGGUUGGAUCACCUCCUUACCUUAAAGAA
rnacentral:rRNA from 1 species